CCUACGGGAGGCAGCAGUGGGGAAUAUUGGACAAUGGGGGGAACCCUGAUCCAGCCAUGCCGCGUGUGUGAAGAAGGCCCUCGGGUUGUAAAGCACUUUCAGUGAGGAAGAACGCCUGGUGGUUAAUACCCAUCAGGAAAGACAUCACUCACAGAAGAAGCACCGGCUAACUCCGUGCCAGCAGCCGCGGUAAUACGGAGGGUGCGAGCGUUAAUCGGAAUUACUGGGCGUAAAGCGCGCGUAGGUGGCUUGAUAAGCCGGUUGUGAAAGCCCCGGGCUCAACCUGGGAACGGCAUCCGGAACUGUCAAGCUAGAGUGCAGGAGAGGAAGGUAGAAUUCCCGGUGUAGCGGUGAAAUGCGUAGAGAUCGGGAGGAAUACCAGUGGCGAAGGCGGCCUUCUGGACUGAUACUGACACUGAGGUGCGAAAGCGUGGGUAGCAAACAGGAUUAGAUACCCGAGUAGUC
rnacentral:rRNA from 1 species